AGGUAUAGCUCAGUGGUAGAGCAUGUGCUUAGCAUGCAUGAGGUCCUGGGUUCAAUCACCAGUUCCU
rnacentral:tRNA from 1 species